CCUAUGCUGCCGAGAAAAGCCUCUAGUGAGUGUCGUGGCGGCCCGUACCCCAAACCGACUCAGGUGGUCAGGUAGAGAAUACCAAGGCGAUCGGGUGAACUGUGGUUAAGGAACUCGGCAAAUUGCCCCCGUAACUUCGGGAGAAGGGGGGCCUCCGCUGGUGAUCAGACUUGCUUUGUGAGCUGGUGGGGGUCGCAGAGGCCAGGGGGAAGCGACUGUUUACUAAAAACACAGGUCCGUGCGAAGUCGUAAGACGAUGUAUACGGACUGACGCCUGCCCGGUGCUGGAACGUUAAGGGGACCGGUUAGCGCAUCUUCGGGUGUGCGAGGCUGAGAACUUAAGCGCCAGUAAACGGCGGUGGUAACUAUAACCAUCCUAAGGUAGCGAAAUUCCUUGUCGGGUAAGUUCCGACCUGCACGAAUGGCGUAACGACUUCCCCGCUGUCUCAACCGCAGACCCGGCGAAAUUGCACUACGAGUAAAGAUGCUCGUUACGCGCAGCAGGACGGAAAGACCCCGGGACCUUCACUACAGCUUGACAUUGGCGUUUGGAACGUCUUGUGUAGGAUAGGUGGGAGACUGUGAAGCUGUCACGCUAGUGGUGGUGGAGUCAUUGGUGAAAUACCACUCUGGUCGUUUUGAACGUCUAACUUCGGUCCGUGAUCCGGAUCAGGGACAGUGUCUGGUGGGUAGUUUAACUGGGGCGGUUGCCUCCUAAAGAGUAACGGAGGCGCCCAAAGGUUCCCUCAGCCUGGUUGGUAAUCAGGUGUCGAGUGUAAGUGCACAAGGGAGCUUGACUGUGAGACCGACGGGUCGAGCAGGAGCGAAAGCUGGGACUAGUGAUCCGGCGGUGGCAUGUGGAAGCGCCGUCGCUCAACGGCUAAAAGGUACCCCGGGGAUAACAGGCUGAUCUUCCCCAAGAGUCCAUAUCGACGGGAUGGUUUGGCACCUCGAUGUCGGCUCGUCGCAUCCUGGGGCUGGAGUAGGUCCCAAGGGUUGGGCUGUUCGCCCAUUAAAGCGGUACGCGAGCUGGGUUUAGAACGUCGCGAGACAGUUCGGUCCCUAUCCGCUGCGCGCGCAGGAGACUUGAAAGGAGCUGUCCCUAGUACGAGAGGACCGGGACGGACGAACCUCUGGUGUGCCAGUUGUUCCGCCAGGAGCAUGGCUGGUUGGCUACGUUCGGAAGGGAUAACCGCUGAAAGCAUCUAAGCGGGAAGCUCGCCUUGAGAUGAGGUCUCCCACCACGAGAGUGGGUAAGGCCCCCGGGAGACGACCGGGUUGAUAGGCCGGAGGUGGAAGCAUGGUAACGUGUGGAGCUGACCGGUACUAAUAGGCCGAGGACUUGACC
rnacentral:rRNA from 1 species